rnacentral:tRNA from 1 species
CCAAAAAUAAUUUAAAUAAAAUCUUGUUUUCACAAAACAAUACAUAAGGAUAAUUCCUUUUUUUGAAACCACACAC